GAUGAACGCUGGCGGCGUGCUUAACACAUGCAAGUCGAACGGAAAGGCCCAAGCUUGCUUGGGUUCUCGAGUGGCGAACGGGUGAGUAACACGUGGGUGAUCUGCCCUGCACUUCGGGAUAAGCCUGGGAAACUGGGUCUAAUACCGGAUAGGACCACUUCUUGGAUGUUGUGGUGGAAAGUUUUCUCGGUGUGGGAUGAGCUCGCGGCCUAUCAGCUUGUUGGUGGGGUAAUGGCCUACCAAGGCGUCGACGGGUAGCCGGCCUGAGAGGGUGUACGGCCACAUUGGGACUGAGAUACGGCCCAGACUCCUACGGGUGGCAGCAGUGGGGAAUAUUGCACAAUGGGCGCACGCCUGAUGCAGCGACGCCGCGUGGUGGAUGACGGCCUUCGUGUUGUAAACUCCUUUCGCUAGGGACGAAGCGUUUUUGUGACGGUACCUGGAGAAGAAGCACCGGCUAACUACGUG
rnacentral:rRNA from 1 species